rnacentral:tRNA from 1 species
GCCCGGUUGGCUCAGUCAGUUAAGCAUCUGACUUCAGCUGAGGUCAUGAUCUCACGGUUCGUGGGUUCAAGCCCCGCGUCGGGCU